rnacentral:misc_RNA from 1 species
AAUCGCCCAAAGAGAAUACUGCCUCUGAGGCAUACUCCUCGCAUGAAUAACAAUAUUAUGAAAUUCGUUCGACGAAACAAGAACGCUAUGGAAUUACAAAAACGUGGACAACUGGUUAACCGUUGGCUGGCUCAAAGAACUAUCGUUAACAUCGUUAAGACGAAAUCCCUAUUGUCUCUGUACGUUGCAAGAGUCACGAAGAAAGACUAUUAAUCGCGGUUUUUCUACCGCAAAGCAAGAAUAUCUGAAGAGCGAGACGAAU